CAGCUGAGGAAGAGGUUGGAGAUUCCUCUGAACCAGCCGUCCCAGUACUUCUCCGCUUUCGAGAGGUCGAUCCGCCAGCUGUACACACUGUGGGGCUGCAGAUCCCAUGGUUAAAAUAUCCUUUCAGGAUUUCCGGAGGCCGUUCAGGAGCAAGCGGACCAGCAUGCACCUCUUCCAGAACAUUCCGCCAUUUUCCACUCUGCAGUCCACCGGCUGAGCUGUGUUCCCGCUGGCAGACCGCAAGCCCCCAGUCCACCAGAGGGGUCGCUGUUGCACAGUAAGGUCGUAGAACUCCUCGUUUCCCUCGGUGACCACAUCGCCAGCUGGACUGACCUGCUCCAAACGGUCUCCCUCCUCUUCCUCGCACCUGUGAGGACAGACAUGGCGCAUCUGGGGUACAGUCGCCAGCGAAGCAUCUGCCUUUCAGCAGGAAAAACAAGCGGAGGAACGGGCUGAAACCAUGUGACUCUGCGUCAUGGAAACAAGCAGGAAGGCCUGUACACACCUCCACUCGAUGGCGCGGUCAAUCGAUUUGAAAGUCUUGGGUCGUCCCCGGAGGAAGUUCUGCAUGCUGUGGAGAACGUCCAUGGCACUUCCUGGAAAAGGAAGGACCGUCCGUCAUGCAUAGCCCAGCGCAGGCAGUCCAGCUGCAUCGCAGGUGUUCCCGCGCUCUCUCCCCCCUCACCCUCCACCACGUCGAUGACCACGAGCCCCACCACGGUGGGCAGCAGGCCGCUGCUGGCUGUGUGGAUGGCGAUGGCUCCGCCCAUGCUGUGGCCCA